CCUACGGGUGGCUGCAGUGAGGAAUAUUGGUCAAUGGACGCAAGUCUGAACCAGCCAUGCCGCGUGCAGGAAGACGGCUCUAUGAGUUGUAAACUGCUUCUGUCCGAGGGCAAAUGCAGAUACGUGUAUCUGACUGAAAGUAUCGUAAGAAUAAGGAUGGGCUAACUCCGUGCCAGCAGCCGCGGGAAUACGGAGGAAUUAAGCGUUAUCGGGGUGUAUUGGGGUUAAAGGGUGCGUAGGCGGUCGGAUAAGUUAGAGGUGAAAGCCCGAGGCUCAACUUCGGAAUUGCCUUUGAUACUGUGCGACUAGAGUGUAGGAGCGGUAGGCGGAAUGUAUGGUGUAGCGGUGAAAUGCUUAGAGAUCAUACAGAACACCGAUUGCGAAGGCAGCUUACCGGGCUACUUCUGACGUUGAGGCACGAAAGCGUGGGGAGCAAACAGGAUUAGAGACCCCGGUAGUC
rnacentral:rRNA from 1 species